rnacentral:lncRNA from 1 species
GUGUCUAAACCCAGCCUGGCUCUGGGCUCUCGGUGGGCUCACUGUUAGCUCUGGGCAGAGGGUGAACCACUAAUAGCUCAUCUACAACCAGCUCUUUGAGAGUAUUUCCUAAAUUAGAAAAAACAUGCUUUUGGCAGCACAAAUUUGAUCUUUGAAGUGAACCACAUCCUAUAGAUAUGACAAAUGGGGAAUAAUUACAACUUCUCAAAGUCAAAAUUCAGUUAUUCUAAUAUAAAUGUAAUCCAUACUUUCAGGGCCAACAUUUCAAAAUUAGUCUUUAAAGUCUCUUUUGUUGUGUUUUUCAAGGUGCAAAACUCUUUGAAAGUCUCUGAAUACAAGCCCUAGAUACUGAGUUCAUCAUUCUAGAUAGUUUAUCCUCAUCUGUUCCAUGAAUGUUCACACUGCCUUGCUACUUAGCUAAUUAAAAACUUUCAUUAAGAACCUGAUAAAUGGAAGGUGAAAGAGUAUAGAGCAUUGGAAAAGACCCAUUCAAGGCAUUCAGAAGGUAUGAUGUAGUUGUGACUUUCAGUUAUAAUCCGCAAGUGCUCUACAAGGAGAAAGAGACUACUCCUUGGUGAAGUGGUGUAGGAAGUCUUCAAGGAGGAGAUGGGAGUUGUUCUGGAUAGGGUGAGUGGAUUUCAGGCAGGCCAAGUGAAACGGAGGCAUUCCAGGCAGUGUGAGGAAAGAUGGGGAGUAGGAAUGGGCAAAGCAUAUUUUGAGAAAAAGAUAGUUGAACCAUCAGACUAUAGUGGAGACUUUAUCACUCUUUCGCAAAGGGCCAUGUUGCCUUGAUCCUUUCAAGGGUUGACCUUGCAGAAGAGAAAGUUGAUUUCAACCAUCCAUCCAUUCAGGAAGAAAGAAAUUGAAUAUAGUAAGAUGCAGGUUCCAUGAAAGCAGGUUCCACGAAAGCAGGUUCCACUUCUGUUUUGUUUGUUGUUGUGUUCCCAGUGGCAGAGAACAGGCCCUCAGCAAAUAUUUGUUAAUUGAAAGAGCGAAUGAAUUGCAUUUAUUUAUCAUAUACAAGACUAUAUGCAAAUGCCAUGACUAGAAAGUAGCCCUGUAAGAGUUCAGAAGAAGUCAGUUUUUGAUAGCAGGAUUGGGAAGAAGAGAUGGAGUAGAAAAGGAACACUUGAGAGAAGUAGCAAUAAGCCAUAAGAUGGAGAGAGGGUACAAUUUUAUUUUUAAAAAUCUUUCUGAAAGUACUGAAUGAUUGGCUAGAUUGUUGGGGCAAAACAGGUGGGAGUGAGGAUGAGGAAGGCAAGAGCAGUCUAUUAAUAUUUGGUAGGAUAUUGAUAUUAAAAUUAAUAUCCUACUUCUUCCUACACUGGCCUGAUCAGUGCGGUUUUUUAGAGAUUAAAAAUAGAGGUUGGAGAAAUGAUUUUUGCCGUGGGAUUGAUUUCAUAUCUGUAUCUUAAAAGCAAUUCCAAGAGUAUCAUCUGAGCCAGCCUGAACUUCCUCUGCUACUAUUAUUCAAAUAAGGAUUUGAAUAAGCAGAAUUUGCUUCAGUGAGGAAACUGCCUGGGGCAUCAGCCUAGGAGAGGAAAUCACAUAUUUCUUGAAACAGCACUGAAUAUAGCCAUUCAGUAUCCAGAAGAAGGCCAUCCAUGUCAAAGAUGAGGUGGGUGAUGGGCUGCGGUGGGGGGUGGGGGUGCUCCCAUGGUGCUGCCUUCUCCGUCUGGGUGGGGGUGAGGAGCAAAGAGACCUCAUCUUUC